AGAGGUUACAAGUGCAAGGCCAGAGCAGAAGUGUUCACAGCAUAGCCCUUGUCAGAUACCAAUGAAUCUGUGAAUUCUGCU
rnacentral:ribozyme from 2 species